rnacentral:rRNA from 1 species
GCAUAUCAAUAAGCGGAGGAAAAGAAACCAACAGGGAUUGCUCUAGUAACGGCGAGUGAAGCAGCAAUAGCUCAAAUUUGAAAUCUGGCGUCUUCGGCGUCCGAGUUGUAAUUUGUAGAGGAUGCUUCUGGGCAGCCACCGACCUAAGUUCCUUGGAACAGGACGUCAUAGAGGGUGAGAAUCCCGUAUGCGGUCGGAAAGGCACCCUACACGUAGCUCCUUCGACGAGUCGAGUUGUUUGGGAAUGCAGCUCUAAAUGGGAGGUAAAUUUCUUCUAAAGCUAAAUAUUGGCCAGAGACCGAUAGCGCACAAGUAGAGUGAUCGAAAGAUGAAAAGCACUUUGGAAAGAGAGUUAAAAAGCACGUGAAAUUGUUGAAAGGGAAGGG